AUGAGCAGCUGCAACCUCACCGGACCCAUCCCGCCCGAGCUCGGCAAGCUCAAGAACCUCGACACGCUCUUCCUCCUCUGGAACCGCCUCUCCGGCGAGAUUCCGACGGAGCUCGGCGAGCUCCAGAGCCUCCAGUCGCUCGACCUGUCCGUCAACGACCUCGCCGGCGAGAUACCGGCGAGCCUCGCCAAGCUGACCCACCUCCGGCUGCUCAACCUGUUCCGGAACCACCUCCGCGGCGGGAUACCGGCGUUCGUCGCCGAGCUGCCGGACCUGGAGGUGCUGCAGCUCUGGGAGAACAACCUCACCGGCAGCCUCCCGCCGGGGCUCGGGAGGAACGGCCGGCUAAGGAACCUCGACGUCACCACCAACCACCUCACCGGCACCGUGCCGCCGGAGCUCUGCGCCGGCGGGAGGCUCGAGACGCUCGUGCUCAUGGACAACGCCUUCUUCGGCCCCAUCCCGGAGUCGCUCGGCGCGUGCAAGACGCUGGUGCGCGUCCGGCUCAGCAAGAACUUCCUCAGCGGCGCCGUGCCGGCCGGGCUCUUCGACCUGCCGCAGGCCAACAUGCUGGAGCUCACCGACAACCUGCUCACCGGCGGUCUCCCCGACGUGAUCGGCGGCGGCAAGAUCGGCAUGCUGCUGCUGGGGAACAACGGGAUCGGCGGCAGGAUUCCGGCGGCCAUCGGCAACCUCCCCGCGCUGCAGACGCUCUCGCUCGAGUCCAACAACUUCUCCGGCGAGCUGCCGCCGGAGAUCGGCCGGCUCAGGAACCUGUCCCGGCUGAACGUCAGCGGGAACCAUCUCACCGGCGCGAUCCCGCAGGAGCUGACGCGCUGCGCGUCGCUCGCCGCAGUCGACGUCAGCCGCAACCGCCUGACCGGCGCGAUACCGGAGAGCAUCACGUCGCUGAAGAUCCUGUGCACGCUGAACGUGUCGAGGAACGCGCUGUCCGGCGAGCUCCCCACGGAGAUGUCCAACAUGACGAGCCUCACCACGCUCGACGUGUCGUACAACGCGCUGACGGGCGCCGUGCCGAUGCAGGGCCAGUUCCUGGUGUUCAACGAGAGCUCCUUCGUGGGCAACCCCGGGCUGUGCGGCGGCCCGCUGACCGGCAGCAGCAACGACGGCGCCGCCUGCUCCGACAACAACCACGACGGCGGCGGCGGCGUGCUGUCGCUCCGCCGCUGGGACUCGAAGAAGAUGCUGGUGUGCCUGGCGGGCGUGUUCGUGGCGCUGGUCGCCGCGUUCCUGGGCGGGCGGAAGGGGUGCGAGGCGUGGCGGGAGGCGGCGCGCCGGCGCUCGGGGGCGUGGAAGAUGACGGUGUUCCAGCAGCGGCCGGGGUUCUCGGCGGACGACGUGGUGGAGUGCCUGCAGGAGGACAACAUCAUCGGCAAGGGCGGCGCCGGGAUCGUGUACCACGGCGUGACCCGCGGCGGCGCGGAGCUGGCGAUCAAGCGGCUGGUGGGGCGCGGCGUGGGCGGCGACCGCGGGUUCUCGGCGGAGGUGGGCACGCUGGGGCGGAUCCGGCACCGCAACAUCGUGCGCCUGCUGGGCUUCGUGUCCAACCGCGAGACCAACCUGCUGCUGUACGAGUACAUGCCCAACGGCUCGCUGGGGGAGAUGCUCCACGGCGGCAAGGGCGGCCACCUCGGCUGGGACGCCCGCGCGCGGGUGGCGCUCGAGGCCGCGCGCGGCCUCUGCUACCUCCACCACGACUGCGCGCCGCGCAUCAUCCACCGCGACGUCAAGUCCAACAACAUCCUGCUCGACUCGGCGUUCGAGGCCCACGUCGCCGACUUCGGCCUCGCCAAGUUCCUCGGCGGCGGUGGCGCCGGCGCCUCCGAGUGCAUGUCCGCCAUCGCCGGCUCCUACGGCUACAUCGCCCCAGAGUACGCGUACACGCUGCGGGUGGACGAGAAGAGCGACGUGUACAGCUUCGGGGUGGUGCUGCUGGAGCUCAUCACGGGGCGGCGCCCCGUGGGCGGGUUCGGCGACGGCGUGGACAUCGUGCACUGGGUCCGCAAGGCCACCGCGGAGCUCCCCGACACCGCGGCGGCUGUCCUUGCCGUCGCCGACCGCCGCCUCUCCCCCGAGCCCGUGCCGCUGCUGGUGGGGCUCUACGACGUGGCCACGGCGUGCGUCGAGGAGGCGAGCACCGACCGGCCCAACAUGCGCGAGGUGGUGCACAUGCUCUCGCAGCCCGCCCUCGCCGCCGCCGCAGCAGCCGACAACGCGGCCCGGCCCGACGAUGACCUUAUCCUCUCCUUCUGA
rnacentral:rRNA from 1 species